GACAGGUGGUGCGAUGGUUGUCGUCAGCUCGUGUCGUGAGAUGUGGGUUAAGUCCCGCAACGAGCGCACCUUAUCCUUAGUAGCCAGCAGUUCGGCUGGGGCACUCUGGGGAGACUGCCAGGGAUAACCUGGAGGAAGGUGGGGAUGACGUCAAAUCAUCAUGCCCCUUAUGAUUUGGGCUACACACGUGCUACAAUGGCGUAAACAAAGGGAAGCGAAGGAGUGAUCCGGAGCAAAUCUCAAAAAUAACGUCUCAGUUCGGAUUGUAGUCUGCAACUCGACUACAUGAAGCUGGAAUCGCUAGUAAUCGCGGAUCAGAAUGCCGCGGUGAAUACGUUCCCGGGUCUU
rnacentral:rRNA from 1 species